UUCUCUCUUUAUAUCGAUAGACUUCAGGUUUGAACAAACCCUAACUUUCUCUCCCCUCAUCCUUCUCUCUCUCUAUAUCGCCUUCCUACCGAUCUCCCGCGAAAGUCGAAACGAGCAACGAAACUCGCAACCUAUCGGCGACUCCCUCUAUCUCACAUCUCUCAACAACUCCCUCACCUCUAUCUCACAUCUCUCAGCGACUCCCACUAUCUCACAUCUCUCAGCGACUUUCACGAAAGUCGAAACGCAGGUCUCGCCACUAGAAAACAGGAUUUUUUUGUGUGUGUGUCACUGUGUGUAAUGCCUAUCUGGUGGCAAAAGAAAAUUUCUAAUCGUUUGAUUGAUGAGUGCGAAGUGAGAAAUGAGCAUUUAUAAGGAAAUGAAUGAUUUUCUGGACUUGCUGAUUACAGAGUCAAAAGUGGAUCUAAGGGUAUGGUUGGAAACUUUGAGACGUACCCUUGAACAUUUCGGAGGGUUUGGUGAAUCUGGAAUCGAGGGUUGAGAUACUACUGGUACUAGUCGUCGCCUUUCGAUCAUCUUCUCUUCUACUGUUGUUUUUUGUGAAUGUGUCGUUGCUCUUCAUGGCUUCUGGGCAAUGACCAUGAUUUGUUUUUGAUCUUCACUAAUCUCUCUCUCGGAGCCGGUCUUCUUUAAACUUAAAUCAAAGCUCAUCACUCAUUACAUAUAAACAAACAUCAAUUAGUAGCAAGUGAAUGUUAUAUUCAUUUUUUUCCUUUCCUCUCUCUUUUAUUCUCCUCCUCUUUUUUUUAUUUUGGCUUUUCCUUUCUUGUUUUUAGAAUAAUUAUUAUUAAAAAGAAUAAUAAGAUAUUGAGGUUA